GCGCACGCACGCAACAUUUGAAGGAGUUCCGUGUGCCCGCGCCGCUGCGCUAGACGUUUUUGGAUUUAAAGAGCCGAAGAAAAAUGGCUGACCGCGACAGCGCAUCCGAGAGUGACUCGAGCUCUAUCGACGGUGGCCCGAUAAUGAUGCCCCCGUCGCCGGUGACCCGGGAGCAGCUGCAAAAGAGAAUCGAGUCCCUCCAGCAGCACAAUCGGGUCCUCAAGGUCGAGCUCGAGACUUACAAGUUGAGGGUCAAGGCGCUUCAAGAGGAGAAUCGCAGCCUCCGGCAAGCCUCCGUCAUCAUCCAAGCCAAAGCCGAGCAAGAGGAAGAAUUUAUUAGCAAUACAUUGCUGAAAAAAAUUCAAGCUCUUAAAAAAGAAAAAGAAACUCUAGCGCAUCAUUAUGAACAAGAAGAGGAAUGUUUAACAAACGAUUUGUCUCGGAAGUUAAGUCAAUUAAGACAAGAAAAAUGCCGCUUGGAGCAGACUUUGGAGCAAGAACAAGAGUGUCUUGUGAAUAAACUCAUGAGGAAAAUUGAAAAAUUAGAAGCUGAAACAUUGGCAAAACAGAGUAAUUUGGAGCAGUUACGAAGAGAAAAAGUUGAAUUGGAAAAUACACUCGAGCAAGAGCAGGAAGCAUUGGUUAAUAAAUUAUGGAAGCGAAUGGACAAAUUAGAAGCUGAAAAAAGAUCUCUUCAAAUCAAAUUGGAUCAACCUGUAUCAGAUCCUACCUCACCGAGAGAUAUUAAUAAUGGAGAUACUGCUACGAAUCUCAGUACACAUAUUCAAAAUUUAAGAAGUGAAGUGGCACGACUAAGGCACAAUCUGCUAAUAUCUCAACAAGAACAUACUGAAAAGAUGCAGCGAUACGUGAAUGAAGAAAAACACAUUCGUGAGGAAAACCUGAGGCUUCAGAGAAAAUUACAACUUGAAGUUGAACGACGUGAAGCACUUUGUAGACAUUUAUCAGAAUCAGAAUCGAGUUUGGAAAUGGAAGAGGAACGUCAUUAUAAUGAAACUGUAAUGUCUGGUGUUAGCAUUAGAGGACGAACAGUUUCAAGUCCAAUGCCGUACAAUCCUUCGCCUAGUUGUUCAAGACCACUUAGCCCUGGUACUAUUUUAAUAGGUUCAACGUCUCGGGAAAAUUUAAAUGCUAAUCGUUGUUAUGCAUGUGGACAGCCAACUACUUUACCUUUUGCGAGCUCUUCACCUCCCUCAGGAGGUCACAUUUUAGCACCAUCCAGUAGACGUGCAUCGGAUAGAUUUAUUAAACCGGCGAUUCCGCCAACAAUAGUAAGUCCUGGUGGCCCGUCAUUGGGAAAUACGCAGGCUAACGCUUCAGGUGCGUGUCCUAUGGACAUCGCAAAGACUUAAAUUGGUUACAAGUAACUAUUCUGCCAAGAUAUUCUUUAUAUUUUACAUGUAUAAACUACAAUCACAAGAUUAAAUAAUAUUAAACGAAGCAAGUACCCUGUAUGUCACUCUGUAUUCUUUCACCCAGAGAUAUUCUUCAUCAAAUUCAUCCGAGUUACUUCUGCAUCUCCAAGUAUUUUGAAAAUUGAAAAGAAAAUAGUGCCACGCGUGCAUAAUAUAAGUGUUUUAUUUUUUUUUUUAAUUUCAACAAAUUUCUCAAGGUAUUCGCUUGUUUCGCAUCAGUUAUUAUAAGUAAAGGCUUAAUAUUUUAUAAAGCUUCUGGAUAGA